UUUAAUAGGGUAUAAACCCCAACACUCUCAUUUUUUAUCACUCUCAAAUGAGAGACAGCCGCCAAGGCCCCUUAUCUCUCGUCUGCCCCUUUCUCCACUCCUCUGCCGCCCGUCGGAUUUAAUCACUGGCGAUGGCCGGCCGAUGAAAAUAAUUUUCAAGUUAUUGAGGCCACGACCCUCCGAAUUGAUCCUUCGGACUGGGACCGAAAUAAAGAGGCGAUUACAAUAAAUAUCGAGAAAAGAAAGACGAGAAUGUGACGAACCAAUACUUUGGACGGCCACACGAUUAGCUACCGUAGUCUCAACUAAGUCGGUUCCCGUUCUCAUGUCUAGACGGAAAUAAAAAUCAUAAUCCGAACCUCCUAUAAUAUUUUUUAAAACUAUUUUCCCAAAAGUAAUUUUUCAAAAAUAUUUCAAAUAAUUUUCAAAAAAUAAUUUGAAAAAAUAUUUUCAAACAAAAACAAUUUCAAAAAACAUGUAACUUUAAUAAUUUAUUUCUACAUCAUAUUAUUUUACUAACGCUUGUUCUCUUGCUUUGCGAGAUACCCUACCCGGAAGUCACCCUUCAAAGAUGACGUUUGGAGAAAAAUCAAAGGUCAUACUCCCUCAAUUGCCCCGCUUCAUACUUUCUGCUCUUGGGUGUACUCAAAAGAUAAACAUAGUAAAAUAUUAGUUAGUUGCCAUAGUUAUUUAGGUAUUCAUUUGUACAUGUUAGAUUAAUUACACUUAGAAUAACAUGAUUAGGCUAACAAUUAGUUUCGCCCUUAAUUGUUUUAUUCUAAUCAAUCAUGGGCUGCAUUAAUACUUAGAACUUUAAACACGUUUUCAUGAUCAAAUUAA